rnacentral:rRNA from 1 species
UACGUAGGGUCCGAGCGUUGUCCGGAAUUAUUGGGCGUAAAGAGCUCGUAGGCGGUUUGUCGCGUCUGCUGUGAAAUCCCGAGGCUCAACCUCGGGCCUGCAGUGGGUACGGGCAGACUUGAGUGGUGUAGGGGAGACUGGAAUUCCUGGUGUAGCGGUGGAAUGCGCAGAUAUCAGGAGGAACACCGAUGGCGAAGGCAGGUCUCUGGACCUCUUCUGACGCUGAGGCGCGAAAGCCAGGGGAGCAAACGGG